rnacentral:rRNA from 1 species
GGCGGGACACGUGGUAUCCUGUCUGAAUAUGGGGGGACCAUCCUCCAAGGCUAAAUACUCCUGACUGACCGAUAGUGAACCAGUACCGUGAGGGAAAGGCGAAAAGAACCCCGGCGAGGGGAGUGAAAAAGAACCUGAAACCGUGUACGUACAAGCAGUGGGAGCACAGGUUUACCUGUGUGACUGCGUACCUUUUGUAUAAUGGGUCAGCGACUUAUAUUCUGUAGCAAGGUUAACCGUAUAGGGGAGCCGGAGGGAAACCGAGUCUUAACCGGGCGUUAAGUUGCAGGGUAUAGACCCGAAACCCGGUGAUCUAGCCAUGGGCAGGUUGAAGGUUGGGUAACACUAACUGGAGGACCGAACCGACUAAUGUUGAAAAAUUAGCGGAUGACCUGUGGCUGGGGGUGAAAGGCCAAUCAAACCGGGAGAUAGCUGGUUCUCCCCGAAAGCUAUUUAGGUAGCGCCUCGUGAAUUCAUCUCCGGGGGUAGAGCACUGUUUCGGCUAGGGGGCCAUCCCGGCUUACCAACCCGAUGCAAACUGCGAAUACCGGAGAAUGUUAUCACGGGAGACACACGGCGGGUGCUAACGUCCGUCGUGAAGAGGGAAACAACCCAGACCGCCAGCUAAGGUCCCAAAGUCAUGGUUAAGUGGGAAACGAUGUGGGAAGGCCCAGACAGCCAGGAUGUUGGCUUAGAAGCAGCCAUCAUUUAAAGAAAGCGUAAUAGCUCACUGGUCGAGUCGGCCUGCGCGGAAGAUGUAACGGGGCUAAACCAUGCACCGAAGCUGCGGCAGCGACGUUUAUGCGUUGUUGGGUAGGGGAGCGUUCUGUAAGCCUGCGAAGGUGGCCUGUGAGGGUUGCUGGAGGUAUCAGAAGUGCGAAUGCUGACAUAAGUAACGAUAAAGCGGGUGAAAAGCCCGCUCGCCGGAAGACCAAGGGUUCCUGUCCAACGUUAAUCGGGGCAGGGUGAGUCGACCCCUAAGGCGAGGCCGAAAGGCGUAGUCGAUGGGAAACGGGUUAAUAUUCCCGUACUUGGUGUUACUGCGAAGGGGGGACGGAGAAGGCUAUGUUGGCCGGGCGACGGUUGUCCCGGUUUAAGCGUGUAGGCUGGUUUUCCAGGCAAAUCCGG